rnacentral:rRNA from 1 species
AUUGAACGCUGGCGGCAGGCCUAACACAUGCAAGUCGAACGAGUGGCGGACGGGUGAGUAAUGGCUGGGAAACUGCCUGAUGGAGGGGGAUAACUACUGGAAACGGUAGCUAAUACCGCAUACCAUCAGAUCUGCCCAGAGUGGAUUAGCUAGUGGGGGGGGUAACGGCUCACCAAGGCGACGAUCCCUAGCUGGUCUGAGAGGAUGACCGGCCACACUGGAACGGAGACACGGUCCAGACGCCUACGGGAGGCAGCAGUGGGGAAUAUUGGACAAUGGGCGAAAGCCUGAUGCAGCCAUGCCGCGUGUAUGAAGAAGGCCUUCGGAUUGUAAAGUACUUUCAUCGGAGAGGCGUUACCCGCAGAAGAAGCACCGGCUAACUCCGUGCCAGCAGCCGCGGUAAUAC